rnacentral:rRNA from 1 species
GAUGAACGCUGGCGGCGUGCUUAACACAUGCAAGUCGAGCGAGUGAGUUCUUCGGAACGAUCUAGCGGCGGACGGGUGAGUAACACGUGGGCAACCUGCCUAAUAGAGGGGAAUAGCCUCCCGAAAGGGAGAUUAAUACCGCAUAAAAUUAUCGAGUGGAAUCACAUGAUAAUCAAAGGAGUAAUCCGCUAUGAGAUGGGCCCGCGGCGCAUUAGCUAGUUGGUGAGGUAACGGCUCACCAAGGCGACGAUGCGUAGCCGACCUGAGAGGGUGAUCGGCCACAUUGGGACUGAGACACGGCUCAGACUCCUACGGGAGGCAGCAGUGGGGAAUAUUGCACAAUGGGGGAAACCCUGAUGCAGCAACGCCGCGUGAGUGAUGAAGGUCUUCGGAUUGUAAAGCUCUGUCUUUGGGGACGAUAAUGACGGUACCCAAGGAGGAAGCCACGGCUAACUACGUGCCAGCCGCCGCCGUAA